rnacentral:rRNA from 1 species
UACGUAGGGGGCAAGCGUUGUCCGGAUUCAUUGGGCGUAAAGAGCGUGUAGGCGGCCAGGUAGGUCGGUUGUGAAAACUGGAGGCUCAACCUUCAGAGGUCGACCGAAACCAUCUGGCUAGAGUCCGGGAGAGGAGAGUGGAAUUCCUGGUGUAGCGGUGAAAUGCGCAGAUAUCAGGAAGAACACCCGUGGCGAAAGCGGCUCUCUGGAACGGUACUGACGCCGAGACGCGGAAGCGUGGGGAGCGAACAGG